rnacentral:rRNA from 1 species
CGGAGGGUGCAAGCGUUAUCCGGAUUCACUGGGUUUAAAGGGUGCGUAGGUGGGCAAGUAAGUCAGUGGUGAAAUCUCCGGGCUUAACCCGGAAACUGCCAUUGAUACUAUUUGUCUUGAAUACUGUGGAGGUCAGCGGAAUAUGUCAUGUAGCGGUGAAAUGCUUAGGUAUGACAUAGAACACCAAUUGCGAAGGCAGCUGGCUACACAAAUAUUGACACUGAGGCACGAAAGCGUGGGGAUCAAACAGGAUUAGAUACCCUGGUAGUCCACGCCUAAACUAUGGAUACUCGACAUUUGCGAUAAACUGCAAGUGUCUGAGCGAAAGCAUUAAGUAUCCCACCUGGGAAGUACGAUCGCAAGAUUG